AGAGAUUGAAUCUUCACACUGUGAGGAAUUAAUGUUGGAAAAUAAUCCUACAUUUUUAAAUAAUGAUAAUUGUAAGCAUGGACAUACCGAAGGGUAAAGGAGGGGGAAGUUUUAUUAACAAGAUCCAUCCAUCGGUUGUGUUACCGUGAAUAUAAAACCGACAGAAUCUUUGUGACAUUCGUCGAGAAAUAACGAUGGAGGAAAGAGAAAAUAUAUUUUAUGUGAAAUUAAGCAAAAACGUUUACAGGAACAUUAAUGUUACGGGAGGCUUAUGGAACAAAGCACUAUCACGUACAUUAACCUUCUAUGGACGUCUCUAAUUUCUCGCGGGUGAAAAAUUUGUCCCGGUAAAGUUGGUAACGAAACGUUCGUUAGGACCUAGUACAGAGUACGCGCUCCGACCGGUAGGUGGCGACCGCAGGGUGACGGCGCUCGCAAGCGAAAACGCGAGAUAACGCCCAUAUGAACCCCGACGCGGCCGUAGUAGGGAAGACCAAUCCCAGGGGGGCCAAGCACAGUUGCGGGGAAGUGAAACCACGUUUUUAGUUGGUGAACCAAAUCCACGCGGCGCUAGUAGGCAUCACAUACACAUAUCUAGCGUAUCGGUGAAUAUCACCAACACUGGUAUGAAAAUUUCAACGUCGGUGUCGGUAGCUGUCGGUUUCCGUCGGUACUCAUUGUCAUUUGCGAAGUAAUAAUGGACUAUUGUCAAUGGCACAAUGGUAACAAUCACUCACGUGGCGGUAGUCUGAUAGCCAGCGUGAUUUGAUUCCUUCGUGACUUUUAAUUGUGUUUUUUGUGUGUUUCUUUGUGUUUUUUUUUUCAGUUUUGUGAAAUAUGGCACCUAAAAAGUGCCAAGUGAGAGGAUGUACCUCACAGGAAAACCAGCUUCGCCAAUUUCCCGAUCCGAUGAAAGAUAGGGAACGCUGACUUCAAUGGAUAGCAGCGUGUGAUAAUCCCUGCCUCCAGGACAUGUCAUCAAUGGAAAAUGUGAAAAUCUGCGAUGUCCACUUUGAGGAUGUUUAUAAAUUAAAUGUCCGACUGAGUACUUCAGCAGUGCCAACGCUUUGUUUGCCAAGAAUUAUAUCUGGUCUAGCGGAAGGGGCAGCAUCAAAUAUAGGAUUUCGAAAGACACUCACUUGUCUAAUGAACUGAGCAGCUUAGCUUAUUUCUCUAUUAUUUCAGAUUGGACUGUUAUCACUUCGUGUAACAUAAGCGUAAUUAUAAAAAUAUUCUUAUUAUAAAAUUUGUACAAUAUAAGUUAAAUAAAAAAAAUGUUUGUUAUAUAAAUAUUGUAUACCUUUUUAUUACAA